AACUCCUGCCUUCAGGCAUUCCUCCCAUGUUGGCCUCUGAAAGUGCUGGGAUUACAGAUGGAGUUUUGCUGUGUUGCCCAGGCUGGAGUGCAGUGGCACAAUCUCAGCUCAGUGCAACCUCCACCUCCUGAGUUCAAGCGAUUUUCCUGCCUCAGCUUCCUAAGUAGCUGGGACUACAAAUGAGUACCUGCACGCCUGUCUAAUUUUUGUAUUUUUAGUAGAGACAGGGUUCCACCAUGUUGCCCAGGCUGGUCUCAAACUCCUGGGCUCAAGUGAUAUGCCCAUCUCGGCCUCCCAAAGUGCUUAGAUUACAGGCAUGAGCCACUACGCCCAGCAAUCCCUUUACCUUUAAAAAAAUAAAUAAAUAAACCUUU
rnacentral:lncRNA from 10 species